rnacentral:rRNA from 1 species
AGUGAACGCUGGCGGUAGGCCUAACACAUGCAAGUCGAACGGCAGCACAGUAAGAGCUUGCUCUUACGGGUGGCGAGUGGCGGACGGGUGAGGAAUACAUCGGAAUCUACUUUUUCGUGGGGGAUAACGUAGGGAAACUUACGCUAAUACCGCAUACGACCUACGGGUGAAAGCAGGGGAUCUUCGGACCUUGCGCGAUUGAAUGAGCCGAUGUCGGAUUAGCUAGUUGGCGGGGUAAAGGCCAACCAAGGCGCGGAUCCGUAGCUGGUCUGAGUGGAUGAUCAGCCGCACUGGAACUUGGACACGGUCCAGACUACUAAGGGAGGCAGCAGUGGGGAAUAGUGGACAAUGGGCGCAAGCCUGAUCCAGCCAGACCGCGUGGGUGAAGGAGGCCUUCGGGUUGUAAAGCCCUUUUGUUGGGAAAGAAAAGCAGCAGGUUAAUACCCCGCUGUUCUGACGGUACCCAAAGAAUAAGCACCGGCUAACUUCGUG